AUGCUUUUGUUUUAAUUGCUUCUAAAUUGAAGAUUAUUAUCUCAUAAACUAAGGAGAUUUUGAUGAUCCAAAGUAGUGGGGAGGACCAACCUCAGUUUACCUUAAUGGAGAGCCCAUAUCAAUCACUGAACAUUUAUUAAUUUAAUACAUUUCUUUGUUUUCAAAGAGUUUGGUGGGUGAUAUGCUCAAGGAAUUUUAUAUUGGUCUCUUAUAUGAUUUUGUAAUUAUAAAUUAGUGAAUAAUUAACAACAUCUCAUCCUGAUUUGCAUAUUACAUGUUCCCAAUGCCAAUACAAACAAAAUUGGACAAUUCAUUUCAUGCUAGAAAUUUCUUAAUUAUAUACAGAUAUUAUGGAAAUUUGUUCCUUACAGGCUCAGCAGGGCACAAAACACAAUCUAGGAGCAAAUCAAAGUGGUGACCUCCCCCUUCCAUGCUUGACACUCAGGUUUGAAAUCCGAAAAGGUUUCUUUCCUCCCAAUAUGACCACAAAAAAAAAAAAAAAAAAAAACUAUGAAGUCAGAUUACGGUAAUAUGAUCACGUGGUAGAUCUUGUACACGUGUAUAAUAGGGAGACUUUGGAAAAACCCAAUAUAAGUGAAUAUAUUUAUUAAUACUAUUUUCUAAAAAUAGAAAAAAUAAACUCUGUCGUCCAUCAAUAUUAUAAUAUGUGUACAUGAUUC
rnacentral:lncRNA from 1 species